AUCCAAGGAAGGCAGCAGGCGCGCAAAUUACCCACUCCCAGAACGGGGAGGUAGUGACGAAAAAUAACAAUACGGGACUCUUUUGAGACCCCGUAAUUGGAAUGAGUACACUCUAAAUCCUUUAACGAGGAUCCAUUGGAGGGCAAGUCUGGUGCCAGCCGCCGCGGUAAUUCCAGCUCCAAUAGCGUAUAUUAAAGUUGUUGCGGUUAAAAAGCUCGUAGUUGGAUCUCAGUUCCAGACGGGUGGUCCGCCGAACGGUGGUUACUGCCUGUUCUGAACAGCCAGCCGGUUUCUCUUGAUGAUCUUCACCGGUUGUCUUGGGUGACCGGCUAGUUUACUUUGAAAAAAUUAGAGUGCUCAAAGCAGGCGUGACGCCUGAAUAAUGGUGCAUGGAAUAAUGGAAUAGGACCUCGGUUCUAUUUUGUUGGUUUUCGGAACACGAGGUAAUGAUUAAAAGGGACAGACGGGGGCAUUCGUAUUGCGACGCUAGAGGUGAAAUUCUUGGACCGUCGCAAGACGAACUACUGCGAAAGGCUUUGCCAAGAAUGUUUUCAUUAAUCAAGAACGAAAGUUAGAGGUUUGAAGGCGAUCAGAUACCGCCCUAGUUCUAACCAUUAACGAUGCCAGCCAGCGAUCCGGGUGUGUUCCUCAAAUGACACGCCGGGCAGCUUCCGGGAAACCAAAGCUUUUGGGUUCCGGGGGAAGUAUGGUUGCAAAGCUGAAACUUAAAGGAAUUGACGGAAGGGCACCACCAGGAAUGGAGCCUGCGGCUUAAUUUGACUCAACACGGGAAAACUUACCCGGCCCGGACACAGGAAGGAUUGACAGAUUAAGAGCUCUUUCUUGAUUCUGUGGGUGGUGGUGCAUGGCCGUUCUUAGUUGGUGGAGCGAUUUGUCUGGUUAAUUCCGAUAACGAACGAGACUCUAGCCUACUAAAUAGACGUUCCGAUCAUCUCCGUCGGACGUUCUUCUUAGAGGGACAAGCGGCGUUUAGCCGCACGAGACAGAGCAAUAACAGGUCUGUGAUGCCCUUAGAUGUCCGGGGCCGCACGCGCGCUACAUUGAAGGAAUCAGCGUGUGCUUUCCCGGUCCGACAGGACUGGGUAACCCGUUGAACCUCCUUCGUGCUGGGGAUAGGAGCUUGUAAUUGUUCUCCUUGAACGAGGAAUUCCCAGUAAGCACGAGUCAUCAGCUCGUGUUGAUUACGUCCCUGCCCUUUGUACACACCGCCCGUCGCUACUACCGAUUGAAUGAUUUAGUGAGGUCCUCGGACUGGCGCUCGGAGCGGCCUUCGGGUCGCGCCGGCGUGCCGGAAAGAUGACCAAACUUGAUCAUUUAGAGGAAGUAAA
rnacentral:rRNA from 1 species